CUGUUGAGGCAUUUCCACCAUGGCCUGGACUGUGCUCCUCCUCACCCUCCUCACUCAGGGCACAGGGUCCUGGGCCCAGUCUGCCCUGACACAGCCUUCCUCUGCGUCUGGGGCUCUGGGUCAGUCAGUCACCAUCUCUUGCUCCGGAAGCAGCAGCGACAUUGGGGGUUAUAACUACAUCUACUGGUACCAACAGCACCCAGGCACAGCCCCCAAACUCCUGAUUUAUAAUGUGAAUAGUCGGGCUUCAGGGAUCCCUGCUCGCUUCUCUGGCUCCAAGUCUGGCAACACGGCCUCCCUGACCAUCUCUGGGCUCCAGGCUGAGGAUGAGGGUGAUUAUUACUGUAGCUCAUAUGUGGGCAGUAACACUUUCCACGUUGGUUUAAGUUCGUGGGGAA